rnacentral:misc_RNA from 1 species
CUUCUUUUAAUCCAUAUUAUCCUUCUUGUUGGAGACCUUAAUUACAAGCCUGAGAAUCUCAUUCAUGUUCUUGAUUCUUAAAUUGGGUUUAAUCUCUUACCUUGUUUUAGUGCUCAGAAGGAUGCUUUUUUCUUGUUCUUUUGCCCAAUAACUAAAAGGUUCAUCUCUGUCAGUCUCUGCUUAAAAGCAGAUCAUCAACAACCAAAAGCAAGAAACCACAAAGGUAACACUUUUCUGCUUCCC